AGUGAACGCUGGCGGUAGGCCUAACACAUGCAAGUCGAACGGCAGCACAGUAAGAGCUUGCUCUUACGGGUGGCGAGUGGCGGACGGGUGAGGAAUACAUCGGAAUCUACUUUUUCGUGGGGGAUAACGUAGGGAAACUUACGCUAAUACCGCAUACGACCUACGGGUGAAAGCAGGGGAUCUUCGGACCUUGCGCGAUUGAAUGAGCCGAUGUCGGAUUAGCUAGUUGGCGGGGUAAAGGCCCACCAAGGCGACGAUCCGUAGCUGGUCUGAGAGGAUGAUCAGCCACAAUGGAACUGAGACACGGUCCAGACUCCUACGGGAGGCAGCAGUGGGGAAUAUUGGACAAGGGGCGCAAGCCUGAUCCAGCCAUACCGCGUGGGUGAAGAAGGCCUUCGGGUUGUAAAGCCCUUUUGUUGGGAAAGAAAAGCAGCAGGUUAAUACCCCGCUGUUCUGACGGUACCCAAAGAAUAAGCACCGGCUAACUUCGU
rnacentral:rRNA from 1 species